UACGAAGGGGGCUAGCGUUGCUCGGAUUGACUGGGCGUAAAGGGCGCGUAGGCGGUUCGUACAGUCAGACGUGAAAUUCCUGGGCUCAACCUGGGGGCUGCGUUUGAUACGUGCGGACUUGAGUGCGGAAGAGGGUCGUGGAAUUCCCAGUGUAGAGGUGAAAUUCGUAGAUAUUGGGAAGAACACCGGUGGCGAAGGCGGCUCACUGGCUCAUUUCUGACGCUCAGGCGCGACAGGCGUGGGGAUCAAACAGG
rnacentral:rRNA from 1 species